GCAUAUCAAUAAGCGGAGGAAAAGAAACCAACAGGGAUUGCCCUAGUAACGGCGAGUGAAGCGGCAACAGCUCAAAUUUGAAAUCUGGCUUCGGCCCGAGUUGUAAUUUGCAGAGGAAGCUUUAGGCGCGGCACUUUCUGAGUCCCCUGGAACGGGGCGCCAUAGAGGGUGAGAGCCCCGUAUAGUUAGAUGCCUAGCCUGUGUAAAGCUCCUUCGACGAGUCGAGUAGUUUGGGAAUGCUGCUCAAAAUGGGAGGUAAAUUUCUUCUAAAGCUAAAUACCGGCCAGAGACCGAUAGCGCACAAGUAGAGUGAUCGAAAGAUGAAAAGCACUUUGAAAAGAGGGUUAAAUAGCACGUGAAAUUGUUGAAAGGGAAGCGCUUGUGACCAGACUUGCGCCGGGCAGAUCAUCCGGUGUUCUCACCGGUGCACUCUGCCCGGCUCAGGCCAGCAUCGGUUCUCGCGGGGGGAUAAAGGCCCUGGGAACGUAGCUCCUCCGGGAGUGUUAUAGCCCGGGGCGUAAUGCCCUCGCGGGGACCGAGGUUCGCGCAUCUGCAAGGAUGCUGGCGUAAUGGUCAUCAGCGACCCGUCUUGAAACACGGACCAAGGAGUCAAGGUUUUGCGCGAGUGUUUGGGUGUAAAACCCGCACGCGUAAUGAAAGUGAACGUAGGUGAGAGCUUCGGCGCAUCAUCGACCGAUCCUGAUGUUUUCGGAUGGAUUUGAGUAGGAGCGUUAAGCCUUGGACCCGAAAGAUGGUGAACUAUGCUUGGAUAGGGUGAAGCCAGAGGAAACUCUGGUGGAGGCUCGCAGCGGUUCUGACGUGCAAAUCGAUCGUCAAAUCUGAGCAUGGGGGCGAAAGACUAAUCGAACCAUCUAGUAGCUGGUUACCGCCGAAGUU
rnacentral:rRNA from 1 species